GAAGCUUUGCUAAAAGAAAUGAUAAAGAGGAGGUUCUAUAAAUUUGAACACGGUGAUAAAGAUAAUGUCUCGGAUUCGUCUUCGGACUCUGAACUUGAAGUGGAAGCCUCGGAAGAAUCUGAAUCUGAAUCAGAACAAGAAGUUGCUGCUCAAGUAUAACAGCAUGAUCAAGCUUGCUCAACGUCUUCUGGAUAUGAGAGCGAGGAUAGCUCCGCAAAUGAAGUUGGUGUGGACUCUGCAGGUCUUUUAGAUGAUGAUGAGGAAUCUGAAGAUGAUAAACAA